CCUACGGGUGGCAGCAACCAGGAAUAUUGCGCAAUGGGCGAAAGCCUGACGCAGCGACACCGCGUGUGGGAUUAAGUCCUUCGGGAUGUAAACCACUGUGGCGAGGGAGGAACUUUUGACAGUACCUCGCUAGAAAGCACCAGCUAACUACGUGCCAGAAGCUUCGGUAAUACGUAGGGUGCGAGCGUUAUCCGGAUUUACUGGGCGUAAAGAGUCUGUAGGCGACUAGAUAAGUCCCUCGUUCAAGGCUGAGGCUUAACUUCAGUGUGGCGAGAGAAACUAUCUAGAUUGAGUUGGUUCGAGGAAACUGGAAUUCUCGGUGGAGGGGUGAAAUCCGUAGAUAUCGAGAGGAACGCCAAUCGCGAAGGCAGGUUUCUAGGACUUAACUGACGCUGAGAGACGAAAGCUUGGGUAGCAAAAGGGAUUAGAUACCCUUGUAG
rnacentral:rRNA from 1 species